GCGCUCGGGGGUUGUGCCAGCUGGUGUCACAAUAACUUGUACGCUGUUUAUCUCCAGGCCUUGCUUGGUAAAUGUGUAAUGCAACCGGUAGUCAUGGAAAAGGUUGGGAGCAGACGACCGACAGUUAAUUUUUCCGAAGUAUAUUUGUAACAGAAUUAUUACAUCCACAUUAAAUCUCGUAUGCGAUAAAGUAGCAGAUGUUUGAAUAGCUAAGGUGGGGCAAGGGUUGUACUAAGCGAAUACGAAGUGUCAGACGGUCAAGGUGUAUAGGACCUGAUAUACAGCCGCCGGUGGGAAGUUUUCCCACAUGGAAAGCCUGAUCUGACACCGUGUGGAAUCUGUGGAAUUUCCCUGCGGAAGGGGCUCCGAAAGCCUGUGAAGACUCGCCCAGGUGAGGCACUAGCCGCAGUGGAAAGGAGACGGAGUUUCAGUACGCAUGGUGCUCUGGAUUAAUGAGAAGAGGAUAAGAACCUUCUCCAUGAAUACACGGGCAUCAGGAAGUAGCAGAGGGAUGGAUUCCCUGAAGAAAGAACUGGAGGAGGAGCUGAAGCUGAGCACGGAGGACAUGAGGAGCCAUGCCUGGUAUCACGGUCCAAUCAGCCGAGAGGGUGCAGAGGUACUGCUGCAACGUGAUGGAGACUUCCUGAUCCGCGACUCCUGGAGCAGCCCAGGGGACUAUGUCCUGACAUGUCAGUGGAAGAAUGAGCCCAUGCACUUCAAAAUCAUCCGAGUGGUGCUGCGGCCCAAGAAGGGCUACACGCGGGUGUUGUUCCAGUUUGAGCAGGACCGCUUUGACAACGUCCCAGCUCUAGUCCGGUUCCAUGUGGGUGGCAGGAGACCCAUCUCUGAAGCCUCAGGAGCCAUCAUCUUCCAGCCCAUCACACGCACAGUGCCUCUGCGCGUUAUCAGUGAGCGUGAGGCUAUGUGUGAAAGUGGAGGCAGACUGUGCAGAUCAGGAAGGGCACAGAAGCAGCAUCCUGAGGCCAGUAAGAGACUGAGCUUCACCUCCAGCCAGAUGGACACGCUGCACAUCAGCAGUAACUUGCUCAGGAGUAAGGAUAAGAGUGGCAGUCACCCAGCCAACCUUGAGAUUCUAGGAAGAAGACCAUCUUUGCAGUCUGCUCAGUCUGACAGCAACCUGUGCUCAGGAGCAGCACCUGAGGUACCUGUGGAAGCCAGCCCCACCACCAUCUCUCCUGUUUUCCGGACAGGCAGUGAGCCUUUGUUGAGCCCUCGUUUGCCUCAACAUGUCCAGUCCUCUCAGCCAGGAGGGGGCACCACCCCGCGAGGCUCUGAUGGACAGCUGCACUCCCGGGCGCCUCCCAAGCCCCUACGGGUGUCCACCCUAUUCCCCUGCACCCCCUCCCAGACAGAGGAGGACCCCAGCCACUUAUAUGAUGAGCUCAUUCCACGUGCCCCUGUGACAGUGCCUCGCAGCCAUGCUGAUCGCCUGCGGGCUGAGGAGAAGUGGCAGAGUCGUGCCCGCAUCACCGAGACUAGCUUCAACUUCCUUGAGACGGCUCCAGAGCAGGAGGAACCACCCGAAGGGAAUGAGCCACAGUUUGUGCGGCCGGAGUUUGAGAUGUCCUCCUGCUUUUGCCUGGAGCACUUCCAUUCCCUGCUGCUUCCAGAUAACAAUCGGCCUUUAGAGCCCACGGUCCUGCUGGCCCUCAAGCAGCUGUUUGGCCGCAGUGAUGCCAGGACCACGGCUUUGCAUAUCCUCAGCGUCGACUGCCAGGUAGCACGGAUCACAGGCGUGACAGAGGAGCAAAAGAGACUGAUGGGCGUGAGCUCUGGCCUGGAGCUCAUCACACUUCCACAUGGACACCAGCUAAGACAGGACCUACUGGAAAGGCACCAGCUUUUGGCGUUGGGGUUGGCUAUAGACAUCCUGGGCUGCACCGGUACUGUGGGCCAGAGAGCUGCUGUGUUGCACAAGAUCAUCCAGCUGGCUAAGGAGCUGCGGCAUACAGCCCACGACUACUACGCUUUCUCUGCUGUCAUGAAGGCCCUGGAUCUGCCACAGGUGGUCAGACUGGAGAAGACGUGGCGAGCCUUAAGAAGGAACCACACUGACAGUGCAGUGUCUUUUGAAAAGACACUCAAGCCGUUCAUGAAAGCUCUGAACGAAGAAGAUGGUAAGAGCACCGAGCUCACAGGUCCCGACCCUGAUGGCCCUGAUUCCAUGUCAGUGUUAACAGCAGCAAGAAGGCUAAUUUCUGUUUUCUAGGCUAUUUUCUAUUAACUUUCUAUUUCUAUUAACAUUACAUGUAAAACUAUGUAAUGAGUUUGCUAUGUGACUACUUCUCGGUGAAUUUAAAUUAGCUAGACCAGUCAUUGUAUAUCAUAGUCAUAUAUUGAAGAUGUACUAAGAACAUAGUAAGGGAGAGAAGGAAACAGCUUAUUGUAUGGAUGAGUAAUAUUUUCAUUUACAUUAACUGCCUUUAUAAUGUGUUCAUAGAACAUUCAGUGAACCUUCACAAUGAACUCAUUGAGCAUUCAUAAGCAGCAUGGAAGUAUACCUUAAUAUCCUAACAUACCUUAAUAGCUUUAACAUAUAGUAUAAUAAUAACAAAAUUAUGUGAUGAUAACGAGUAUUAUAAUCACAUAAUAAUAUAAUGCAUGCCAGCGUCAUGGGCUUGCUUUUUCAUACCAGCAAUUCUGUGGAGCUGUGCCAGAGCCCGUGGAAAAGCAUGAAACCAGUUCCAAAUUAGGCACCGGCUCAGCACCAGAAUCAGUAUCACAUUGCUGGAAUGUGCCAUCUGUGUCUGCUAGAUAGGAUAUCCAAGAUGCAUUUACAGUUAGAAAUUUUGAAGCAUAGCAAGUCAGUUUUUGAAUCAGUUUUUGAGAAAUGAUUGUACUGAACUAAAAUCCAAAGAGCAUACCAGUUAGUGCUGGGUCCAGUAACUUUCAGAGAAAAAAAUUUUGGAGUUGAUUGGUACUCCAGUCCCCAUAAAAACUUAACGCAGCUCCAAAACAGCAGACAGGACCACAGCUCAUGACCAUAGGUGAGGGUAGGAACGUAGAUCGACUGGUAAAUCGAGAGCUUUGCCUUUUGGCUCAGCUCCUUCUUCAACAUGACAGACCUAUGCAACGCCCACAUUACUGCUGAUGCCGCACCGAUCCGCCUGUCGAUCUCCCGCUCCAUCCUUCCCUCACUCGUGAACAAGACCCCGAGAUACUUAAACUCCUCCACUUGGGGAAGGACUUUUCUCCUAACCCAGGAGAGAGCACUCCAUCCUUUCCUGGCUGAGGACCAUGGUCUCAGAUUUGGAGGUGCUGAUUUUCAUCCUAGCUGCUUCACAUUCAGCUGCAAACUGCUCCAGUGAGAGCCGACGGUCACGGUCCGAUGAAGCCAACAUAACCACAUCAUCUGCAAAAAGUAGAGACCUAAUCCUAAGGUGCUAAAAGUUAUGAACACCCUCCGGUCCGCCUUCUUGAAGAGGGGGGCCAUGACCCUGGUCUGCCAAUCCAGAGGUACUGCCCCCAAUAUCCACAUGAUGCUGCGAAUGCAUGUCAACCAGGACAGCCCUCCAACAUCCGGAGCGUUGAACUCCAGGCAGAUCUCAUCCAUCCCUGGGGCCCCAGACUCUGCUUCCUCAUUGGACAGCAUGUCGGUGGGAUUGAGGAGGUCUUUAAAGUAUUCCUUCCACCGAUUUACAAUGUCCCAAGCUGAGGUAGGCAGAGCAUAAAUAGUACACAGUGUUGAUGCUGCACCAGUUUCCCGCUCUGGACCGGCUAUGAGAAUUGUGUCGGUCCUCAUGGGUCUGGCAACCAUGGUGAAAGUGACUCUAUGUUUCUUGACUUUGCAAAAAGUCAGGGGUUAUGGGUCGCUAGAUCCUGGUCCCAGCCGCAUCAUUGGACUUGGUACUCUAAUCGAUCACAUCCUCAUGGGCAGACGCUGGAGGCUUCUACAGAAUUGCAGGUCAACAGAAGUGCCCAGUUUGCAUAAGCACAAACAACAGUCAGGACUCGUCCCCCCACCCAAAGGUGAAGGGAGGCUACCCUCUCAUCCAUUGCAGUGAACCUCAAUGCACAGGUGCCCAGCCUGGGGGCAAUUAGUAUGCCCACCUGCUUGGUACCUCUCCCCGUGAGCAACUCCAGAGUGGAAGAGGGUCCUACCCCCCUCAAGGAGACUGGUUCCAGAGCCCGAGCCAUGCAUUGAGAUGAGCCUGACUAUACCUAGCCGGAACCUCACAACCUUGCACACCAGCUCAGACUCCUUCCCUGCCAGAGAGUUGACAUUCCAUGUUCCUCGAGCAAGCUUCUACAGCCCAGGAUUGGACCGCCACGGUCUCUGCCUUCGGCUACCGCCCAACUCACACUGCACCUGACCCGUUUGGCCCCUCCUACAGGUGGUGAGCCCAUUGGAGGGGGACCCAUGUGCCGCCUUCAGGCUGUGCCCGACCAGGCCCCAUGGGUGCAGGCCUGGCCACCAGGUGCUCACCAUCGAGCCCCACCCACAGGCCUGGCUCCGGGGGGGGGGAGAUGAUGUGUCCGGUGGCCAUGGACUGUGAGUCUGUCUCUGUGCCGCACCUGGUGCCACUGCUCAGGCUAAUGGAAGGAGAGGAUGCAGGUGAACACACAGGACAUGGCUGCCAACUACUCCUCAGCAUCCUACAGUCGGCC